rnacentral:tRNA from 1 species
UGGAGAGUUCGCAUAGUGGACUAGUGCAGGCGCCUUGAAAGCGCCCAGGGCUGGGGACAGUCCUCGUGGGUUCGAAUCCCACACUCUCCGCCCA